GUGUCCUUAUAAGAGCAGAGGACACACAGAGGGACAGAUACCCGGAGGGCAGAUGCCGUGUGAGGGGAGUGAUGGAUCACCCAGCACAGCCAGCCACCGGCAGCAGCUGGGAGAGCUCUGGCUUUCAGAUCAAUCAACGUUCUAAAAACAGAUGAAGAACGGGCAGGCUCUGGCUGGCUGCACGUCCACCCCCGGGCUGAGUGAGCACUGCUGGAACAGCUUCUGACGUACGAGGCGGUGGAGGAAGAACUCCAACUCCUCUGCCCGCCGCCGAGUUCAUCCCCACUCAGGCCCCUCCCACCAGCCCUUUCCCUUCUCUGAGUGUCCAUCGCUUUCCUUCGGAGCGCCAACAAUCCCCAAGGCAACUCA